rnacentral:rRNA from 1 species
CCUACGGGAGGCAGCAGUGGGGAAUAUUGGUCAAUGGACGCAAGUCUGAACCAGCCAUGCCGCGUGCAGGAUGACGGUCCUAUGGAUUGUAAACUGCUUUUGUACGAGAAGAAACACUCCUACGUGUAGGAGCUUGACGGUAUCGUAAGAAUAAGGAUCGGCUAACUCCGUGCCAGCAGCCGCGGUAAU